CCUACGGGGGGCAGCAGUGGGGAAUAUUGCACAAUGGGGGGAACCCUGAUGCAGCGACGCCGCGUGAGUGAAGAAGUAUUUCGGUAUGUAAAGCUCUAUCAGCAGGGAAGAAAAUGACGGUACCUGACUAAGAAGCCCCGGCUAACUACGUGCCAGCAGCCGCGGUAAAACGUAGGGGGCAAGCGUUAUCCGGAUUUACUGGGUGUAAAGGGAGCGCAGACGGCUGUGCAAGUCUGGAGUGAAAGGCGGGGGCCCAACCCCCGGACUGCUCUUGAAACUGUAAAGCUUGAGUGCAGGAGAGGUAAGCGGAAUUCGUAGUGUAGCGGUGAAAUGCGUAGAUAUUAGGAGGAACACCAGUGGCGAAGGCGGCUUACUGGACUGCAACUGACGUUGAGGCUCGAAAGCGUGGGGAGCAAACAGGAUUAGAUACCCGGGUAGUC
rnacentral:rRNA from 1 species